AGCAAUUCUUGUGCCUCAGCCUCCCAAACCGGGAUUACAGAAAAUUCCUCCAGGUCUUCUGAAAAGGUUGGCAUGCUGAGGGACAGCUGAGUAAGCUUCAAUCAUGGAGAAAAGAUAAUAUCCUACAGGAAGGAGAAACAAUAUAACAGGAACCUGGGUCUCUGAAUGAACUUGUGAAGCAGAGCUACCUAUCCGCCCUGGGCCACUUGCCCACCUAUGAGGUGAUAGAAAAACAAACUUCCAUCUAAUUUAAGCCACUGUGUUUCUGAAUCUCUUUGUUAUAUCAUUUUAGCCUAUGCCUUACUAAUAUACUUCCUAAAGUUAAAUGAGCAAGUUAUGUAGUUACGUAGUUAACUAUGAGGUGUGUGUAUGUACAUACCAUUGUUUUCAUGCCUAAUAUAUCUGAUUCUAAACACUUAAAACUUCACUCUCUAGUUCCAAGUGAAACACAGGUAAAAUAAAAUGUGAGCAAUAAAUGGCAUAAAGACAGGUUUUCUGCUUAAACAAUUUGGAGUUUAAAAGGUCAACUGUGUAACUGUAGGACCUAUCCUUUUCGUAUGCCAAUUCUUCAGCCUUCCCAGCAGUUCUGGGAACUAUUAUGAUUCAAUAACUUCCUAUUUCUGUUUAAAUCAUCCAGUCAACUUCAGUUGCUUAAAACUAAGAACUUUGAUGGAUGCAGCAUACAGAUAGCCUUCAGAGGGUUCAUGAACUCCUUGAACCCUAUAUGAAAUAUUUCACACACACACACACACACACACACACAGUGUUUUCUGGGGAGAGGUUACAUAGCUUAUGUCACAUUCUCAAUGGAGUCCAUGAUAAGAUGUGGGCAUAUAUGUGAGAGGGGAGACAAUGCAAUAUUAUCCUUUCCAGAUACAAGUUCAUUAUAAACUUCUUCUGCUAUCCCUGGAAACACAUUUUUUUUUUCAUUAGAGGAAUUUAAUUUAAAACUGAACCAGAAUUAAUAGACUAGAUCAAAUAAUAAGAUGCAGAGACAACAUAAAGAAGGUCAAGAAAAAGGAGAAUGCCCAUGAGGAGUGGUGAUAUUAUGCAGAUAACCUCUUGUUGGGAGGGGAGGAGGACCUAUGCCUUCAGGAUGAGUUGAAGAGUAGCAAAUCAACUGACCAAAAAAUAAGAGUUUGGGCUAUCUGCAGUGGAAAGACAGAGAGGCAAGCAACCAGUAAGAUGGGGUAGAAGACUGUGGAUAAGGAGUUAUGGGGCCAGGUGUGGUGGCUCAUGCUUGUAAUCCUAGCACUUUGGGAGGCCGAGGUGGACAGAUCACUUGAGCUCAGGAGUUUGAGACCAGCCUGGCCAACGCGGUGAAACCCCAUCUCUACUAAAAAUACAGAAAAAUUAGCUAGGCAUGGUGGUACGUGCUUGUAAUCCCAGCUACUCUGGGGGCUGAGGCAGGAGAAUCGCUUGAACCCAGGAGGCAAAGACUGCAGUGACCCAAGAUCCCGCCACUGCAUUCCAGUCUAGCCUGGGUGACAGAGUGAGACUUUGUCUCACUAAAAAAAAAAAAAAAAGAGUUAUGGGUGAGUCAAGAGAUUAUACUUGUAAUGUAGCCAAGCUUGGCAUUCUCAAGAACUAAGAGAAGAGAAUUAACUGAAGAAAGAAGGUGAAACUAGUUAGAAUGAAUAAUUAGCUAUAUGCUACAGCUGAACUCUGUGAUUAGUCACAAGUAUAUAGGCAAUAUAUUAAUAGUACAGUGUUUGUUAAGAGCAUGAAAUCUACAACUUAAUUUGAGUUCAAAAAUGCAACCAUUUCCAAGUGAUCAAGGUCACUACCAACAGUGGUAAGACAGAUUAAUGGUGUGUAUCUUUGAUAUGAUGUGAAAAAAAUGGCACUUUAUCUCUGUGAUAUUCCUCCCCAAAGCCCAUAACCUCAGUCUAAUUAUGGGAAAACAAAUCUCAACUGAGUAAGGCAUUCUACAAAACACCUGAUUAGUACUCCCAAAACUGCCAAGGUCAUCAAAAGCAAGUAAAAUCUAGGAAACUGUCACAGCCAAGAGGAGGCUAAGGAGACAUAAUGAUUUAAUGUAAUGCGAUAUCUUGGAUAGGAUCCUCGAACAGAAAAAGGGCAUUAGGUAAGAAACUAAAGAAAUGUGAAUAAAGUAUGGACUUUAGUUAAUAAUAAUGUAUCACCACUGGUUCAUUACUAUAACCCAUGCACCAUAUUAAUGUGAGAUAUAAAUAACAGGGGAACCUGGGUAUGGGGUAUAUAGGAACUUAGUGUAUCAUCUUUGUAAUUUUCCUGUAAAUGUAAAAUGGUUCUAAAAAAAUAAAGUUUCUUUUUAAAAAAUGCAGCUAUUUUACUUACUAACCUUGAGCAAGUUAGCUUUUCUGUGUCUCACUUGACUCAUCUAUAAAAUUAGAAUUAGGUUGAUAAUAGCAGCAACCUAACUCAAGAAUUUGUUGUGAAGACUAAAUGAGUUAAUAUAGUAAAGUGCUUAGAACAGUGCCUCACAGUUAGGAAGCACUGCUUAGUAUCAGCAAUGAUUAUUUUUUAACACAGAUGCUCCUUAACUUAUGAUGGUGUUGUGUCUGGAUAAACCCAUCAAAAAUAGAAAAUGCGCUUUCAACUUAGGAUAUUUUUUCAACAUAUUGUGGGUUUAUUGGGACAUACCCCAUUGUAAGUUGAGGAAUGUACUGAAUGCAUGUUGCUUUUCCAUCAUCGUAAAGUUGAAAAAUUUUAUGUCAGGAGGCAUCUGUACUUGUAAAGUGCAGUAAAAUUGUAUGCAAAAGGAGUAAAAAACAGCCUGAUAUUAAACUCUAACUUUAUAAAUGAAAUUUGAAAUAAAAUUCCUCCAAUUGAAAAUAUGUCAAAAAUUACAUAAUUUCAAGGUCAGUAAAUCAAGGGAAGUAUAAAUCAUGUUUAUACUAUGGUUACAUGGUGGGCCGCCAUAUAGAUUUUG
rnacentral:lncRNA from 1 species